rnacentral:rRNA from 1 species
AGGAUUAACGCUGGCGGCGUGCCUGACACAUGCAAGUCGAACGAGGUCGCAAGACCGAGUGGCGGACGGGUGAGUAACACGUGACCAACCUACCCCGAAAUCUGGAAUAGCCCUGCGAAAGCAGGAUUAAUACCGGAUGUGGCCCGGCGAGGGCAUCCUCGCCGGUCUAAAGAUUCAUCGUUUCGGGACGGGGUCGCGGCCUAUUAGCUUGUUGGUGGGGUAACGGCUCACCAAGGCGAUGAUGGGUAGCUGGUCUGAGAGGACGACCAGCCACACUGGGACUGAGACACGGCCCAGACUCCUACGGGAGGCAGCAGUGAGGAAUUUUCCGCAAUGGGCGAAAGCCUGACGGAGCAACGCCGCGUGUGGGAUGAAGGCCUUCGGGUUGUAAACCACUGUCGGAGGGGACGAUAAUGACGGUACCCUCCAAGGAAGCCCGGCUAACUACGCGCCAGCAGCCGC